GGAGACAUAGCUCAGCUGGGAGAGCGAGCGACUGAAGUUCAGUCAUCAGACUUCCUUAACAGGAAGACAUCGCUAGGUCGGGUGUUCGAUCCACCCUGGCUCCA